GACGAACGCUGGCGGCGUGCUUAACACAUGCAAGUCGAACGAAGUGGCGGACGGGUGAGUAAUACGUGGGUAACCUGCCCUCCUUGUGGGAAUAAGCCUUGGAAACGGGGUCUAUUACCGAUUAAAGGGGGACGUGCUCGCGGCCAAUCAGCUGGUUGGUGGCGUGAGGGCCUGCCGAGGCGGUGACGGGUGGCCGGCAUGAGGGGGUGACCUGCCACAUUGGGACGGAGAUACCGCCCAGACGCCUACGGGAGGCAGCAGUGGGGGAUAUUGGCCAAAGGGUGAAAGACUGAUGCAGCGACGCUGCGGGGGGGAUGAAGGUUUUCGGGUUGUAACAGUCUGUCGCUAUCGAACGGGUAGGUGGAGAAGAAGCGCCGGCUAACUACGUGCCAGCCGCCGCGGUAAUUC
rnacentral:rRNA from 1 species